UACGAAGGGGGCUAGCGUUGCUCGGAUUUACUGGGCGUAAAGGGCGCGUAGGCGGACUGUUAAGUUGGGGGUGAAAGCCCGGGGCUCAACCUCGGAAUUGCCUUCAAUACUGGCUGUCUUGAGUGUGAGAGAGGUGUGGGGAACUCCGAGUGUAGAGGUGAAAUUCGUAGAUAUUCGGAAGAACACCAGUGGCGAAGGCGACACACUGGCUCGCUACUGACGCUGAGGGGCGAAAGCGUGGGGAGCAAACAGG
rnacentral:rRNA from 1 species